CAUUGUGAACCAACCUUCAAUUAUUUGUAGGUCAUGUGCACCUGGUAUUCUACUAAUUUGAUCUAUUCAAUACAUAAGUGAAGGAAAUAAGAAAAUAAAUAACGAGAACAAUUACAAUAAAGGUUCGAAGUGUCUUCCUAGACAUUCUAAGUAAUAACCUAACCGAUUUCGUAAUUAAAUUGGACGGCGGUAUUUUAAAAAAUGUGACAGCUGUCAAUUGUAUCUACUACUCAUUUGAACUACUCAAUAGAUUGAUGUGUUUUUUUUUAAAUCGAACAUAGGGAAAUUACAUUGCAUACAAACUCAUAUGUUCGCAUUAAAAAAAAAUUCACUGUAUAAAAGUAAGUUAGUCACAAUGUCAUACGAAUGGUCGAUUGUUUUUCCAUCACCAUGUCAGUGUUAAAAUCGUAAGAAGUUAGAGACGGAAGAAGAGAGCAGACGGACACCAUUUGUUAAGCGAGACAAUUUUGGCGGUAUUCUUCUUGAAAAUAAUUAGUUUGCUUGGCGCUUUUUGUAAAAUAAGUAGUGCGAAAAGCGAGAAGUUUUAGCUUGUAUGAGUCAUCAUCGAGGGCAGAAGAAAAUUACGCUGUAAUUCAACAUAGAAUAGCUGAACAAGGUUGGCGACCUAGAAUAUUCCUCAAUCCAUUAUAAUGGGAAGCAUUGGUUGCGAAAUAUUAUAGCUGUUUUACAUGAUUUUGGCAUAGCAGUAUAGUGGGUUGCCUACCUCACACGAUUCAGCUGCAGAGACUUGUUACUACUAGACCGCGCAUAGCUCAAGUUGUACGUUGUCAGCAUGGUAGGCCACCCACCGAACUCGUAAAGGCAAGAACUUUCGCGCUCCAAUCUUCACUAUUUGUUUUUGCUGGGAUUAUAUCGCUAAACUGGGCUAGUUUUUCAAUAUUUUUUAAAAUUUCUUUGUUGAAUCGAAAGCGCACACUUUCUAGACACAUAAUGUUCUCAGAAAAGUUUAUAAACGGUAAUAAUGAAAUAAAUGUAAUCUAGUGUACAUUUUCGUAUAAGCAAAGAAUCUUUGGUAUAAGGUAUUUUUUUACCGGAUAGCUACAUCUAGGUAUAGUUAUGUAGAAUGGAAUGGAAACAGCAGAAAAGCACAAGAAUAUUUUGAGAAACAAUCUUUGCGAUAGUGUAACAGAGAUAUGAAUUUGUUUACUCUGCGUCUUUGUUGUACGUCGCGCAGAAAUCUCCACGGAUGUAAUUUGUUUUUGGCACUUCAAGAUCAUAUCAUCAUCAUAUAUAAUAUAUAUCAUAAUCAUGUCCUGUUACAAUUGAAAUCUGUUCUACACUCUAUGAUUUAUGAAUGAAAAACAAUAUCCGAUAAAUGUCCAUGACGACUACGGUGGCGGACAUAUUUCUUUCAACAAAAUUUUCCAUCAUAUGUAUGCAUAAUUAUGACUCCAUCAUGAAUUACGCUCUCGAUGUUGGCUUUGAGCUUCGCAAUUGCACAAUUGUUGGAUUAUCCUUAUAAAUUUAAUCUUUCACGGAACCCCAGAAGAAAUAAUCUAAUAGUGUUAGAUCGCAUGAUCUUGUGGCCAAUUGACAUCACCUCUACGCGAAAUCAAACGUCCAUCAAAUUUGGUUUUUAAUAAAUCGAUUUUCUUCAGCUCGGGACGAGUCAAGCCCGGUUGUUGGAAUUGAAAAAAUUUGGAUCCUCCUGAGCACUAUCCCUCAGCAGCAAUAUUAUCGUGCGAACGACCGGUACGAGUACGUUUUGGUUUUGCUACGUUGAGUACUGACCCAGUAGACUCAAACUUUUUCACAAAAUUCUUAAUUGCAGGCUGUGAUGGCUGAUUAUAACGACCGAAAAUAUCCACGAUUUUACUAAUUGUGGUUUUACAGACCGACCGUUUUCAUUAUGGAUUUUGGAAUUAUUGUUAUGCGUUUUUCUAGUGAAAUUGAAAUCAUUUUCUUAAAUUGUAGACCUUCGACUGUAUUAUCGCCGCCACAAGAGAAGAGCCCUGCGUCAUCAAUGUACGAAUGCAUAAAUCCAAGGUGUUGAUACUUACAUCUCAAAAAUUUGCGCAACCCAAAAAAGGACAGAGAACGAAACAAGUUCUUGGGAUAUAAUAGACGUGCGCUUUUGAAAAGCUAAAUGUAAUGAAAAGA